AGGUGGCGACAUCAGCUGAGAUUUGCAGUGGAUUUAAAUGCAAUAACCACACAAUCUUUAAAGAAAAUAGGGAUAAAAGAAGAGACAAGGCAUUGCUUCACCAUUUUACAAGAAUAUAAGGACAUUAUUUCGGAAAAUAGCAGAAAACUGAGACGAUUUGCACCAGCUCUAGCUCCGUAGAUCAAUCACUGCACUGUAAUUCCAGGCCAGCUGUCCAGAGUUUCAGGCUUAAAGAGUGAAUAAAUAAAAAAUGCAUCAUUACUCCACAGGGCCUAGCUACUCCCAGAUGUUGGACAAAUGGAUUCAUUCAGGCAGCAAGUUAAUCCAUCAUUUAAGGAAAAUGAAUUCAUUUUAUCCACAAGAACAUGAGGUGAUGGAAAUAAUUUGCACCUGCCCAGCAUUCCUACAGUCUGUCAUUGGAUUUGAAAAGAAAUGUUUAUUAAAUAAAUUUUCUAGAUGAAUAAUAA